rnacentral:tmRNA from 1 species
GGGGAUGACAGGCUUCGACGGAAAGCGCUCUUUUAAAACGGCAAGCCCCCGUUGAUUCAUCGGGGCUAAACAGGAUCAAAAAAUAAAAGUCAACGAUACUGUUGAUUCCGCAGUCAGCGAGAAAUUCGCUGUCAAUUACGCAUUCGCGUAAACGGCAUUCGGUGGGUUUUUUCUCAACGGAACCUUCCGGGUGUAAACAAAGUUGAGACGUAACCCCGGCGUUUGAUUUCACCGGCGGGGCCAAAGAUAAAAAAAUCUAGCCCGGACUUUCUCGCCGAUUGGAUCAGGUUCGGGUGAAAAAAUAAAUUUCGGCUAAGCUUGUAGAAGUUUUAGAAAAGUCUUUUCGGAUCCCGGUUCAAUCCCGGGCAUCUCCAC